UAAAUCUUAUAUAUAAAGAAGACUUCUAUUCUCUUCUCCUCUUGCCACGUCAUCAAAUAGGGCAAGGAAAACACGCCACGCGUCCAUCUCUUUUACGGUUUGAUCUGAUACGACCACACCUGCACUCGGCUCCUCCUCACUCACUCUUCGUCUCCUAAAGCCUCCGACCACCGCCUCUGUAACGGCAUUGGGCUUUUGAGUAGUGUAGUCUCCGGUUAUAUUUAUGUGCUACGUUUGUGGUGGGUUUAUUAAAGGCAACAUCACUUUUCCACUUAUUCAUCAUUUACUCUCCUUUUCAAUUAGUAAUCAAAUGAAAAAUUCAGUUGUUGAGAUCUUGAAGAAUCUGAGAGGAUUUUAAAUUGAGAGACGAAGGCUUUGCUGGGAUGUAAAGAAGGUGAGGUAAAGGAGAAGAGAGAACGCGGUGGGAGUGAUAUUGGUGGUGAAUCUAGCUGGCAGCGAUGAAGUAGGGGACAUAGAUGAUUGCGAUCGUGGCAGUAAAUUGUCAAGAGUAAUACUGAACAGAUUUUGCCAUGUCUGCACCUGCUAAAAAAAAUUAUACAGAAGCUAAGCCAAGGAGAAAGAUCUAAUGCUUGGGAUAUGGGUUUCGACAUGGGUGGAGUUUUUGGCAAGUUAUCGUCAUCUAAAAUUGACAUAUCGGACUUUGAUUUCUCAAGCCCAGUCAGGAAAACCACAAAGACGAAAGAAAGGUUAGGCGACUAUGAACUUCAUUCAAGCCCACGGAAGAAGGCAAACGAGAGUAGGACGACCAAGUCCACAGAUUCCAAACUCCAAAGAGUUCACUGCUACAAGAAGAACUGAUAUGUCUGACUCUGUGGACAUCAUUCCAGACUUACUAACAACUAGACAAGUGGCCUCCAGGAGUCCAGGGACAAAUACCGAUGUCAAGGAAAAUGAUUCAGCUGACAACGUCUACAGAUAGUAUGAGCAGACACUGGAAACAAGCUGAUAUUAUUUCCAAUAGAGCGUGAAAUUCUCUAUGGAGAUGGAAUCACCUCAGCAUCUAACGAUGAGAGCCUCACGAGUUCAUACAAUGAGUGGAAAACUUCAGUCCGCCAACAUUUCACCAUCGAAGAAAAUAAACAGCAUCACCUCGCCAUUACAUUCUUCUGAGACUGCACAUACUGCAUGAAGUAGAGAAACCAUUCUAUGAAAUAUGUAGUUCUGCUGCGAAAGUAGAUUCUCCUAGGGAUCCAAAACAGAUUGCCAACAAUAAAAAGAUUACACCACGAGAUCAGGUUAUGAAGCAACGAGUAUAAAUACACCAUCUUCCAGCGAUGAACAGCACAGCUCACCGUAACGUCUCCUUCUCCUCUGUUUCUGAAAAUCUAGGAAUGCCAAGAAAGGUGGAAAGUUUAUGGGGAUCGAUAUAGUUCUGGUAGAUGAGAAGGAUGCAGUCUACAAUGAUUCAGUGAUGGAUUAGAGUCCACAGAGUUGAACAUGUUCCAAUGCCUACUCAGAGAGGGAGGUAGUUAUCAGCUGAGUUCAUUUGAUGUGACAAAGAGCAAUCAGUACUCUCAGAGAGCCAGAAAAUCACGGCAAGCUCAAGCUCGGCUCUUACGAGGGUACUAUGUUUCUUGGUUAGUUAGACGGACUUAGAUUAGCAGAUUGGUGCUUCCCUCCUUCAGUCAAUAGCUUAUGACCGAGAGAUUAAAGCCAGAUUUCGCGUAUUGCCCAACUCCAAUGGAACAUGGAUAGUACAUGGUAGUUUCACCUUGAAGUAUUUGCUCUUAUCUCUCAGUUUCCUUAGCCAGUUAGUACAAAUGAUUAUCAUCAUGGUCAUAGACAUGUCUGGUGAAGUAAGCCAACACAGACUUUCACCAGCAAUAGCUUCCAAGAAUUCGAAAGCGAAGGCGUCUCUCUCAUCACACGUGUUCUUUGAUGAUGUGGUUCCCGAAAUUUGCAUUGACACUUUGUAUCCGAUGUGGUGUAUAACCACAGCGAUAUUUCUGGAGGGGUUUCCUCGAGUCCAAAAUCUGAGUCAAAGGUGGUUGAUGCUUGUGGUGUGAACAAAUCACUGAAGAAUGUGGUUUUAAAGAAUGUGACAACAUGAUCGUCGAAGAGCUGGAGUUGGUGUGGCAUGACUCAACCAAUGGCUCGAUCAAGACUGACACUCAGUUAGAUGGCCUCAAUGGAAAUGAACCAUCUUAGUUCUAGAAAUGUGUUAUGGUCAGCGGUUAAUGAGACUUUAAGAAAGCAAAACAAGUUGUUUUAGUGCCUUCAAUUAUUUCCAAACAGAAGCUUCCAAUUAUAUAUAGGCACAUACACUUCAAGUAUCAAUUGGGAGUCAAGGGCCGCUAUACAAAUCAGAUUAUGAAAGUUGUUUUUUUUCUUUUGUAUAUCUAUAUUGAAUCAAAACAAUGAGAAGAAUUGUAACUUUAUGAUGUCUUUCUAUUUUUUAGUUGUGUCUGUUUCA